UACGGAGGGUGCAAGCGUUGUCCGGAUUUAUUGGGUUUAAAGGGUGCGUAGGUGGCCCUGCAAGUCCGUGGUGAAAGCCUGCCGCUUAACGGCAGAACUGCCAUGGAUACUACAGGGCUUGAGUCCAGACGAGGUUGGCGGAAUGGAUGGUGUAGCGGUGAAAUGCAUAGAUACCAUCAAGAACCCCGAUUGCGUAGGCAGCUGACUAGGCUGGUACUGACACUGAAGCACGAAAGCGUGGGGAGCGAACAGG
rnacentral:rRNA from 1 species